rnacentral:sRNA from 1 species
GGUUUAUGCCCAGUUAGCCAAGGUUAGCGUGGAUUCCAACCUUUCGAAAGAAUGCGUUUGCAGACUACACGAA